rnacentral:lncRNA from 1 species
UUCAUGAAGAUAUCCCGUCAAUUAGAAAAAUAUAUCUAAAAACUAAGGAAUUGUUUUACAUACUUAUACUUUAUAGGGUCUUCGACCUUCUGGCCGAGAGUUACAAACUUAAACAAAACUUAAUAUUUCCUGUUUAGGGUAUAAUGAAUGACUGAACUACAAAAAUAGCACAAGUAAAGUACACUUUUAGUAACAAUAGAGUUAGAUAUGGCGUGCUAACACUUUGAAACGGUCUUACUUUGACAUUAGUUUAGAGUUUUAGUGACUAAACGUGUGGUUCUUUUUCUUACUGUUUACUCAGACUAUGAUUAGUGGUAAAGUUCAAAGAUUGUCACCGAACUGAUGGCUAUAAUUCUGGGUCCAAUAUGAAAGUUACAUCAACGGGUAUUGGAGAGCAGAUCAUAUUUAAAAGAUAUAUAAUAAAGUAAUAUAAGCUGAUUAUUUCUUGAAGAAAGAUCAUAACAUAACCUCUAACCGUAUGAUCAGCGAUAAUUGGAGCCACUACUUUACCUGCUCAACAUACACCAACGCAUUUGGAGAAUAUUCUAUGCUGCAACAACACUAAGAACAGCAUAAUUUAGGAAGUAUACAGUAAAAACGAUUCUAACUGGUAAUUUGCAAGUUGUUUAAGCUUUUAGCCUCACCCAUAUUAAAUCAAGGGUAUAUAUUUCUAUGGUGAGCUGUUACUGAAAAUCUCUCCGAUGCCGUAGAGUUUUCUAAUAUCAGCGUGGAGAAGUCAACGUGAAAUGCUUGCGAAAGAGCAGCAUUCAAAUCGAAACAAGUCUAUCACUGGCGUUUAAGCAAGACAAAUCGGAACUAAAUUGAACAUAAGCCAAUUAUUUAGAAGUCCAUUAUUGAGUUGUAAAAUAAUUCGAGGCGACAGUGCCAUAACGUUCAAAAUUGAAAUGGAAAAUUGCUGUUUUCAACUUUAUAGUCUAAUUUACUACGGAAGCAAAUACAAUUUUAGUACUUUUGACAUUAUACCAAUUAACCAAUACCGGCUGUCAUUGACAUUUUCAAUGUUUUUACUUAGGUUGAGCAACGCCAAAUUGGAAACAAUUCUUAUUUACGCACAUAAAACUAUAAUAGAUGUAUAAGCAAUGGGAAAAUUUCGCUUAAUUUCAAAUAUAACUAACGUAUGCCAUUAUACCAGUUUUAAUAAUACAAUAAAAUUACAUAUUUAAUUGAAUAUUUUCGUAUUUUCGUAUAUAUUUUGCAAAUAUGAUAAUCUUCUCUCUUUCUUAACCUUUUUAAAAUAAUAAUAAUAAAAAUUUGCACAAUAUUAUUGUAUAUAUAUAUACCUAAAUUACACGGAAAAUAAUAGACCACAAGCAAAAGUUUGGACAGUGCAAAAUAAAAAAAGAGGGGGAAAGGAAGCGUUAAGGCAAAUACCAAAUCAAAAUGUUAUUUAAGCAUUCAAAAUGACAAAAAAUACACUAAAUUAGUUUUGCGGUUAUAUAAUUAUAUAUGUAUGCAUGUGGGUAGAU